rnacentral:rRNA from 1 species
UACAUGUGGGGCAAGCGUUGUUCGGAAUUACUGGGUUUAAAGGGUGCGUAGGCGGCCUAUUAAGUCAGGGGUGAAAGACGGUAGCUUAACUAUCGCAGUGCCUUUGAUACUGAUGGGCUUGAAUGAACUAGAGGUAGGCGGAAUGUGACAAGUAGCGGUGAAAUGCAUAGAUAUGUCACAGAACACCAAUUGCGAAGGCAGCUUACUAUGGUUUUAUUGACGCUGAGGCACGAAAGCGUGGGGAUCAAACAGG